UCAUUCAGUGACUAUCACUACUGAAAUGUGUGAUUAAUCCUUAUAAUGAUGGUGCUGAUGCCCCACCCGGAGCUUCUUUACCAGUCUAGUGCACCCAUCCCCCAGCUGCUGGCUCCAUCUUACCCAGAACCAAGAUCAGCUCUAUUUAUCUUCUAUUUAGCAGUUGUGAGUGUUGGCUGCUAACAGCUCACAGCUGCACUCUUCUCUAGAGAAUUGUUCUCAGCUGACGGGAGCCACCUCAUCCAGCGAUGCCUAAGAGGUUAUGUACCCGCCAACACAGCCAAUGACUGAUUGGUAUGAAAGAGCAAAAGACCAACUCCUUUGCCUCAAGGGAGACAACUCUGUGGUGCCAUCUUUGCUCUAGAGCUCUCGGUGGAAUCAAGCUGAUGGGAGCCUUCUGCUGACACCACCUCUUUGCUUAGCUGCUUCUCCUGCCUUUCCCGUUUGCUUCACUUCCUUCCUUUGAGGUUCCUCCUGAGAACACUCCCUCAGUAAGAAUCCCUGCCUCGUUCUCUGCUUCUGGGUCACUCUACCUAAGAGUAAUUUUUGCUAAAGAAAUUGAGAGUAAGGAGAUAGCAUGUCAGCUUUGAAGUCUGGAAGAAGGCUCUAUGGAAAUUAUUUAAUGAUCUUGGCCUUGAGGAGAAGCUGAGAUUUGAUGGACAGUGGAAAAGAAGAAAGGCCUCCCAGGUCGUGAUAAUAAGAUGGCAUGAAGAUGGCAGCCAAAGGACCGCGUCUUCCAAGGACUCUAUUAUACUACUCAUGCUCAACUAUCACCUAUUUCGGAAGAAAGUGGGCUAAAAAAUAUCUAAUUCAUACUAAAGAGUUUUUGACCUGAUGGGUUAACCCUUCUAGGUCAUCAGCAUUUUAAAAGAGAAUCUUGGAUUGCCUUAUGAUUAAUCAAGAGAAAAGCUCUCUAGUGAUUGAAUUUCCAGCACUUCUCCUGAGUAGGGAAGAAAUUUUUGAUUAUGGAGGCUACCCACUCAAAUCAUACCAUGAAGAUAACUUCCCACUCCAUCUAUGGGUGAUAAGGACUCUAAUUAAUAGACAGGCAUGCACAGUCUAGACAUAAUCAUGCUCUAAUGUCAACAUUCUAAAUAAGAGCCUAGAAGAAUUUGUCUGAAUUACCCCUAGGCGAGUGUCAGGGUUGAAUAAUAGGGAGAAGCACUGGAGGGGUUCCUGGUUGAAGCAGCCCUGGGUACAAAGAAAUGGAGGAGCAAACAAGUGAGAAAAGCCAAGACCCAAAAUAGCAAUAUUAAGUCCAAAGGGCCAGAUGCAUGGUUGCCAAUCAUCUUCCAAGCUUUUGGAGUUAGGGGAGAUGGGGCUCAAAAUGGGAACUGUUCAGGAACAACUGUUAAGUCCAAAGGGGUUAUGGUGACCAGUUCAUGCAUAACAUCCAUAGCUCAUGUUUUUUAUUCAAUGGCUGCUGGUUGUGACUGCCUGCUAGAUUCAUUUAGAAUCUUAAAGGCAGCGUGAGUAUAGAGGAUGCAGCAAUGGACUUGUGAUGCUACAGGGAAAUUUUAGAUAAAUAUUAGAGAAUAAUUGGUAGCUAUUAAAAUACGGAAGCAAUGAAGCUAUUAGAAUACAGAAGUUAUGGCACAUGCAUCCAGAGGAGGUAGUAAAAUCACUAUUUAAAGACUCAUUAGGCACCCAUUUAUUUUUAAGACAGGAUUUAAGAAAAAUAAUGAGAUCUAUCUUGUGGUAGUACUGAGAUAUAAGCUAAAUGACCCACAAGAGGUCUCUUCAAACCCAAGAGAUUCUGUUUAAACGUUAGAAUCCAUCUGCCGGAAUGGAAAUUAAAUCCGAUAAGCAUUCUCCUCGGAAAAACAUUGCUUUAUAUGAGUAAUGCUCUAUUUGCUCUUCUCUUUCUUUCUUUUCAUCCCUUCUAAAUUAAAAACUAGCUCAAACCUAUCUCCAAAGUAAUUUUCUUGAUAUUAACCCCUAAGAACAGGAUUCAUAGCUUAAUAUACGAAGAAUAGCAAAUACACUUCAUCUUGAUAGAGGCUUCCUGAACUUGUGUUGAGAAAUAUUCCGACGCCACGUUCAGAGGGCUGUGUCUGAUUAGCAAUGCCUUCCUUGUGCAGGGAGGAGAGAUUAGAGCUGCUUACCAGGUGUUUGCUACUCCUGCUAUAUAACAACCCAAGGAGUAGUCAUAAUUAAAGGCAAUAAAAAGGCGAUCUAAUAUUUUAAUAUUCUGAGGUAUGUCUGAUCUCACAGGUAUCAGUGAGAUUUGGUGCAUAAUAUAAUGGACUCCUUCCAAGAAUACGGAACUAAAGGGCUAGUUAUUGUUCAAAAGAAAAAGAUCUAAUAGAAGAGGAAAAAACAUAAUACUGGUACACUAAGAAAAGAGAAACUUUUUUGCAAAUCCACUAGCCUAAGAUAGAACCCCAAGGAAAAUAUUUAGGUAUGAUUUAAAGGGGAGAAGAAACAGAACUGAUACUGUUAUGGCCACAUACCACACUGCUUGGGCUAAUGGAGGACACAGAUAAUAUUCUCCUAAUAUUGAUUACAAAACUGAUUUUAUAGGAUAGAGCUGAACUGCAAUUGUCAUCCAUUCCCAGAACCAUCUCGUUAACCAUAAAGCUAUGUUGCCUAAAUCUUAGCUGGAACUCCAACCCAUCACUAUGCUUAAUAACUUUUAUUUCUUUUGACAAGCCUACUCAACUGCCUAAUCGCCUUCAGGGUCCAGAAGGUAAAGAAUUCUGAUAAAAUCACUUUGGUUUCCUGAAGAACUCUUUCAGGGGAUUCAACCCCGAAUUUCUCAAGGCUGGAGUCAACACCCACAUCCCCGUUCUACCAUCUUAAGUUGUGGAGACCUGUCCUGUGGUCUGGUGGCUGUGGUGAUGUGGCAGACCCCAGCACAGUGCAUAUAUUCCUCCAGCCUCCUAUCUGCUUUACCUGAGGGCAGGCUGUGAGGGCUGGGAAGUUAAGGCCCUGCAGGAGCAGCCCUCAUACACUGAUGGAUGGAAAUUGCUGGAUAAGAACUCCAGCUCUCAAACCUUUCAAGUGGGAUAACUCUGAGGUGCAUGUCUACAUCGCAGGUAGAAGAAUAUGAAAUCUUUUCAUCUGCCUUCCAACAGAGAGACCCCCUGUUUUUCCAGCCGUUUUAGCUGUCAUUCUCUGAGCACUUUCCAGAGCCAAUAUGAAUUUUUCGAGAGGCUUCAGAAUCAGAAUUGCAAAUGCUUUUCUCAGCAUGGUUAUGCAGGGAUUUUCUACAGCGUUCCCUGUUGUUUCCACUGCCUUUCUUUCUUGACAAGUCCCACUGCUUGGCCAGCCUUAAAAGACUAUCACGAGAUUGUUUGAUGGAGACCACUUUGUACGAGUUACCUAAUCAGCUCAAUUCCCCUUCCUCAUAGCUUGUUCUAAAGAACAAGCUAUGCAACUCCUUUUAGCCAUUCUUUUCCUUCUGCAAGACACCAGACUUCCAAGAUGAAAAUGGAAAACAUUCAGAUGUUUCUAAAUCAUAGAAUCCCAGAAUAGAACUCAAAGGGUCAUUAGAUAUAAUCUUGUCCAACCCCCCCCCCAUUUCAUAAAUGGGGGAACUGAGACUCAGACUAAGCAAGGACUGCAACUUAAAUCUCCCACCUUCCAUGCCAGCCCCCUUUCCAUUUCAUCUGUGUGCAGGAGAGAUAUUAAAACUAUUUAAUGGCUAUAUAUACUCCAGGCACGAGACUAAAGACUUACCAGAGUAUUGGGGUAGCUCCUGAGGGCACCCUGCUGAGAUGAACAAUAGCUCUCUAUUUGCUGGGUCAAGGAGGGGUGUUUGGGGUUCUGGGGGGUGGACAGAGGUGACUGGGGUUGCGGGUAGGCGGGCUUGUGGAGCUCAGAGCAACAUCUCUUCACCAACUAAUAGGAAAGUAUUUCAAUACAUUAACAACUGGGACAGUCAUCCCAGUGUGUCCCAGUUGUCUAGAACUUGUGUCUAUAUAGUUCUUGGUCUAAUUUAGACAACACUUAGGUAUUUUUUUUUUCCUCGCUGGAAUGCUUUGAUGUGUGAAGAGUCAGAAAGAGUCCCUGGCAAAGUGAUAUGCUUUCUUUCAAAAUUUAGGCUUCAUGAAAAUAACU
rnacentral:lncRNA from 1 species